rnacentral:rRNA from 1 species
CAGUCGCCGCGGGAAUACGAAGGGGGCUAGCGUUGCUCGGAUUUACUGGGCGUAAAGCGCACGUAGGCGGACUUUUAAGUCAGGGGUGAAAUCCCGGGGCUCAACCCCGGAACUGCCUUUGAUACUGGGAGUCUUGAGUUCGAGAGAGGUGAGUGGAAUUACGAGUGUAGAGGUGAAAUUCGUAGAUAUUCGCAGGAACACCAGUGGCGAAGGCGGCUCACUGGCUCGAUACUGACGCUGAGGUGCGAAAGCGUGGGGAGCAAACAGGAUUAGAUACCCCCGUAGUCCCUGUCUCUUAUAC